rnacentral:lncRNA from 1 species
CGUCAUUGAGGACAAGGACAAAGUUAAAUCGAAAAAGCAUAAACACACCAUUAAAAAUCCACGCGGUGAUUCAAGGUUACGUAGCGACGUUGCUCAUAUCAGGAAUACAACCGCAUUCGCACACGCACACACAAGGAGCCUUGGCGAAGAAAUUUAACUACACCAUGGUGUUCCGUGCGGUUAGGUCGCGUUUGUAACACGGACAAAUUCGAGAAUCGGCCAGGACGCGAUCAAUAACGCCGCUUUGGAAUGUCACGACACUUGCGUUGACUCGUAGCACAGAACAGCAAUACACACCCAAGUGGUCAGGCAAUCGCCGCACGCGAAGACUGUUGGCGCGCUCGUUUCCACCAAAUUUUAGUUUCCACACACGUGCGCAGGAUGUUUACUUUCAGCGAGGAUCGCGUUUCAGCAACGCCAUGUCGAAAUUUUUUCGGUCCGGAUGGCUGUCAGUCUUUUUAUUUGGAUGCACUCUUCGACCGACGUGACCGCUAUAUGUACACAACACACUUACGAGCAAGAAAGGCGUAGAGCAAUGGGAUUAAGCGCACGCAGUCACCAAGGUACGGCCAACACAGCGACUAUCUCUUCUAGUUCACUAUAACAGCGACCAAGGCAGGCGCUAUG